CCUACAGGUGGCUGCAGUGGGGAAUAUUGGACAAUGGGGGCAACCCUGAUCCAGCCAUGCCGCGUGUGUGAAGAAGGCCCUCGGGUUGUAAAGCACUUUCAGUGAGGAAGAACGCCUGGUGGUUAAUACCCAUCAGGAAAGACAUCACUCACAGAAGAAGCACCGGCUAACUCCGUGCCAGCAGCCGCGGUAAUACGGAGGGUGCGAGCGUUAAUCGGAAUUACUGGGCGUAAAGCGCGCGUAGGUGGCUUGAUAAGCCGGUUGUGAAAGCCCCGGGCUCAACCUGGGAACGGCAUCCGGAACUGUCAAGCUAGAGUGCAGGAGAGGAAGGUAGAAUUCCCGGUGUAGCGGUGAAAUGCGUAGAGAUCGGGAGGAAUACCAGUGGCGAAGGCGGCCUUCUGGACUGACACUGACACUGAGGUGCGAAAGCGUGGGUAGCAAACAGGAUUAGAUACCCUAGUAGUC
rnacentral:rRNA from 1 species